rnacentral:rRNA from 1 species
AUGGCACAUGGAGCAGCAGCAUCAGGCGGCGCCGCCUCCGCCGCCGCGCGGGCGAGCAGAGGCGCGCCGGGGACGUGGAGGCGGGUGCGGAGGGCGGCGCGGGAGGCGGCGGCGCACGCGCUGCUGCUCUGCUUCACCACCCUCCUCGCCCUCAAGCUCGACGGCGUUCUCUUCUCCCGCUCCUGGUGGGUGCUUUUCAUUCCUCUGUGGUUAUUCCAUGCUGCCGUUGUUCGGUAUAGAUUCUCAUUGCCUGCUCCUUCGUUGCUUCAAAAUUACCAGCGGAUUCCAUGCCAUUCCAUUGUUGCCACACCCUUGCUAGUUGCUUUUGAACUUCUUCUCUGUAUCUACCUUGAAGGCCAGGGUAAACCUUUUCUAGAUUUAAAGCUUGUUUUCCUUCCACUCCUGGCCUUGGAAAUUAUUACGUUAGUUGACAAUUUCAGGACGUUUGGUGCUCUAAUGCCUGGACAUGGGGAAACAAUCACUGAUGAGGAGAUAUGGGAUAGGCUUCCUCACUUCUGGGUUGCAAUUUCCAUGGUGUUUCUACUAGCAGCUACUUCACUCAUGCUUCUCAAGCUAUGCGGUGAUGCAGUUACUCUGGGGUGGUGGGAUUUAUUCAUUAACUUUGGGAUUUCCCAGUGCUUUGCUUUUCUUGUCUGCAUAAGGUGGUCCAAUCCAAUGGAUAUUGGUGGCCCUGUACUGAUAAUUCCUAUCGUAAUCUCUCAAGUUCUCCUAUGUGUGCGCUUAGAGGGCACUCCAUCUUAUUCACGGUUUAUCCCAGUUCGAGUUAUUUUCUCACCUAUACUUUUGCUCCAAGUGGUUGCUGUACUGUUUGCCGUUUGGAGAUUCUUUGAAAGGCUUGUUAUGAAAUUACAAGAUGGAAUUGUUAGUGAAGGAUAUAUUUCUGUCUCAUCAAAGAUUGAUGAGUUGUUUAAGAUGGUACAAUAUGGUUCAAGGCUCAUUACAUGGUCUAUUGACGAAGAUAGCAAAGAGGAACAAGCACAUUUAUGCUAUACAAAUAACACUGGGUAUAAUACAUUUUGCAGUUAUCCCCCUGAGAUGGUAAAAGAGAUGCCGAAAAAAGUUCUUGUCAAAGAGAUACAAAGACUUCAGUUAGCAUUGGGAGAGCAAAGCAAAAUGGCAAUGCUUAGCCAACAGCAGUGUGAGAGGCUAAAGAAUGAACGGAUCUUAUGUCGAAUUUGCUUUGAGAGGGACAUCUGCAUUGUUCUGCUUCCAUGCCGCCAUCAUGUUCUAUGCGAACCUUGCUCUGACAAGUGCCAAUCAUGCCCGAUUUGUCGAGUGCCUAUUCGGAGCAAGUUAUCCGUUAGUGAUGCAGUGAAUUCAGACGAUCCGUUAAGUGACAUCGUCUAG